rnacentral:rRNA from 1 species
CAGCCGCCGCGGUAAUACGUAGGUGGCAAGCGUUGUCCGGAUUUAUUGGGUUUAAAGGGUGCGUAGGCGGUUUUGUAAGUCAGUGGUGAAAUAUAGCAGCUUAACUGUUAGGGUGCCAUUGAUACUGCAGAACUUGAGUACAGAUGAGGUAGGCGGAAUUGACGGUGUAGCGGUGAAAUGCUUAGAUAUCGUCAAGAACACCUAUAGCGAAGGCAGCUUACUAGGCUGUAACUGACGCUGAGGCACGAAAGUGUGGGGAUCAAACAGGAUUAGAUACCCUGGUAGUCCACACUGUAAACGUUGAUUACUCGCUGUGUGCGAUAUACAGUACGCGGCCAAGCGAAAGCGAUAAGUAAUCCACCUGGGGAGUACGCCGGCAACGGUGAAACUCAAAGGAAUUGACGG